rnacentral:rRNA from 1 species
AAUCAACGCUGGCGGCGCGCUUAACACAUGCAAGUCGCACGAGAAAGCGGGAGCAAUCUCGCAAGUACAGUGGCGUACGGGUGAGUAACACGUGGAUGAUCUACCCUUUAGUGGGGAAUA